CCGUGUGUGAGGAUGCAGCAGCUUGAAGAUGGGGUGCAUCACGCUUAGGUUUCGGUGAGUUGCUAUGACGAAUACCUCCAUACAAGCGUGUAUCCUCAUCCUGUCGAAAAUUCUGGAACUUAAGCUGCAUCAUUUGUGUAGACGUGCCCUUUGCCGAGUUCCCAUAGCCAGUCGGUGGUGCCAUCAGUCGGAGGAGUGAGAAUCCUCUUACCCGAGACUUUAUCAUCUGUCACCGGAAGGCUAAGCUCGAUUGCAAUGGGCUUCAAAGUUCCCAAUGAAGUCAAGAAGAAAAUAGUUCUUGUUGCAUACGUCUUGCGCCCUUCGAUUGCAUUCAUCCGAUCCAAGAAAGGGAGAUAGAUGUCAUGGUAGUUCAAUACAAACAGCUUAUCUGCAUCCAUGGCCUUAAAAAAGCGUACAUUCGAUUGCAGAGGUGAUGAAAACACAAAGGGUUGUGGCCAGCAAGAACUCGCCGGCCAAAUUCAUCGUCAGGCAAUCCCCACACGAACUCCUCUGGUAAAUUUUACAUUGUUAAAAGUCAAAAAACAUCCAUUUCUACGACGGUAGUACUAAUUUACAAUGCACCUGAAAU